rnacentral:rRNA from 1 species
UAAGCGGAGGAAAAGAAACUAACAAGGAUUCCCCUAGUAACUGCGAGUGAAGCGGGAAAAGCUCAAAUUUAAAAUCUGGUGGUCUUUGGCCAUCCGAGUUGUAAUCUAGAGAAGCGUCUUCCGCGCUGGACCGUGCACAAGUCUCCUGGAACGGAGCGUCGUAGAGGGUGAGAAUCCCGUCUUUGGCAUGGACACACCAGGGCUUUUGUGAUGCGCUCUCGAAGAGUCGAGUUGUUUGGGAAUGCAGCUCAAAAUGGGUGGUGAACUCCAUCUAAAGCUAAAUAUUGGCGAGAGACCGAUAGCGAACAAGUACCGUGAGGGAAAGAUGAAAAGCACUUUGGAAAGAGAGUGAAACAGUACGUGAAAUUGUUGAAAGGGAAACGCUUGAAGUCAGUCGCGUCGACCGAGACUCAGCCUCGCCUCGGCUCGGUGUACUUCUCGGCCCGACGGGUCAGCAUCAAUUUCGCCUCUUGGAUAAUGGCGAGGGAAACGUGACACCUUUACGGUGUGUUAUAGUCUCUCGUCGCAUGCAAGGGUCGGGAUUGAGGAACUCAGCACGCGCCUUUGGGCGUCGGGGCUUUGCCUACGAUACGUGCUUAGGAUGUUGGCGUAAUGGCUUUAAACGACC